rnacentral:misc_RNA from 1 species
CAAGAGCAAGAUUGCAAGAACUUUCCAAAAAGUCAUAAACCUUAAGACUGCAACAAGAAUUGCUUCCAAUAAUGGGAUUGGGAUUUGCAUACUCACUCCACAAAGCAAAUUUCAGGAUGAUCCAACCACAAUUUACAAAUCCCAUAUUUCCGCCACUGACAAGCACAAGGAUGAUCAUUCUAAAGCCAAGCGCAAGGCAGUGUUGGAUGCAUUACUUGCCAAGCUUUUUGCAGGCAUCACUACCAUCAAAGCAGCUUAUGCAGAACUUCAAAUGGCUCAGAAUCCUUACUGUAGUGAUGCUAUACAUGCUGCAGAUCAGGCUAUUGUAGAAGAGCUCAAGCUACUAUCAGAACUUAAACGAAGCUUUUUCAAGAAUGAACUUGAUCACCUCUCACCACAGGUUACUGUUAUGCUUGCAGAGAUUCAGGAGCAACAGAGCUUGAUGAAGACUUAUGAGAUCACCAUCAAGAAACUGGAAUCGGAAACUAAGUUUAAAGAUUCAGACAUU